AGAACGGAACACUGUGAUCAUCUAGUCUGACCGACUGCCUAACACAGGCCACAGAACUUCCCUGAAUUAAUUCAUAGAGCAUCUCUUUUAGAAAAACAUCCAAUCUUGAUUUAAAAGCCAGCGAUAGAGAAUCCACCACAAACUUUAGACACCAGAACUGGACACCGUAUUCCAGCAGCAGGUGCGCCAGUGCCAAGUACAGAGGAUUUGAAAGUGACAGAGCUUUUGUGAAACAAAAUGAAGCAUUGAAAUUGGAAUGCAGAAAAUAUGAAACUCAAGUUAAAGAAAUGCAAGAAGGUGAGACAAGAACUUAAAGACAAGAUCACUGAGCUACAGACCUUGAUCACCGUGGGAGGCAUAAUAUGCACUUCAUUGGGGUCUGUGACAUUCGGGAUACAGCAGAGGAACAAAGCGGGGGCAGUGCACAAGGGGAAGACUGCCACCUUAGCCUCACGGUUCCCGGUAACCAUGUGGGAAUGCUUACAGUGUUCAGGUACAGACUGGACAGCAGCCAAGGUGGAGGAUCCUGCAACACAGGCAACUCUCAGGAGCAGGGACAGGGAAUGGGGGAGGUUGUGGGGGUGGUGUGUUUAAAUGGGAAGGUAAUGGCUACCCUAACCAUAGCAUGCAGUUAAUAUAUGCUGGAAAUGUUACAGUUACUUCAGAAAAUCAUCAGACUACUGUCCAGGAGUCAACCUAUUGUCCUAGGAAGGUGUCGGAGACUUUGACCUUGUCUGUGAACAUGAUUAAGGGUUGGCAGAGUACCAUUACCACUCCUGAACAUACUGGAGUAACAAUGCCUCCUAACACUAGAGUUGAAGCAAGACUAUGAACCAUGCUCAGAAAUGGAAGCAGGACCUGACAAUCAUGAACAUUAGAUUAUAUAGAAUAUUGUACAGUACCAAAUGAUACCUGUAGUAUUGAAUUUAACAAAUUACAACAGUUCUGUCAUGCAAAAUGUGUGUGCUUCUAUAUGCAAAUGAUAGCAAAAGUGGUGCUACAUUUCAGACACUCAAUGGAUGGGGUGGAAUUGGAGGGAAAUUGGUAGCCUGAGAAGGGAAAGAGUCAGGGAGAAGAGAGAUAAAAGAAAUAUAGGAACAAUACUAGGAGUUGGGGCAUUGGGAAUACCAGCACGGAAUAUAUGGAUCUCUCAGUAUUAUGGGAAGAAAAUCAGAAAAUGAGAGUUCAG